ACUAAUUUGGCAGAUUUAAGUGCUUUAAAUUUAGAAUUUAAUUAUGUAUUUUACAGUUAGUA
rnacentral:tRNA from 1 species